rnacentral:rRNA from 1 species
CUCGUAGGCGGUUCGUCGCGUCCGGUGUGAAAGUCCAUCGCUUAACGGUGGAUCCGCGCCGGGUACGGGCGGGCUUGAGUGCGGUAGGGGAGACUGGAAUUCCCGGUGUAACGGUGGAAUGUGUAGAUAUCGGGAAGAACACCAAUGGCGAGGGCAGGUCUCUGGGCCGUUACUGACGCUGAGGAGCGAAAGCGUGGGGAGCGAACA